rnacentral:rRNA from 1 species
ACUCCCGUCUUGCUGGGGUGGAUGAGUGGCGAACGGGUGAGUAACACGUGAGUAACCUGCCCCUGACUUCGGGAUAAGCCCGGGAAACUGGGUCUAAUACCGGAUACGACCGUCCCACGCAUGUGGGAUGGUGGAAAGUUUUUUCGGUUGGGGAUGGGCUCGCGGCCUAUCAGUUUGUUGGUGAGGUAAUGGCUCACCAAGACGACGACGGGUAGCCGGCCUGAGAGGGCGACCGGCCACACUGGGACUGAGACACGGCCCAGACUCCUACGGGAGGCAGCAGUGGGGAAUAUUGCACAAUGGGGGAAACCCUGAUGCAGCGACGCAGCGUGCGGGAUGACGGCCUUCGGGUUGUAAACCGCUUUCAGCAGGGAAGAAGCGAAAGUGACGGUACCUGCAGAAGAAGUACCGGCUAACUACGUGCCAGCAGCCGCGGUAAUACGUAGGGUACGAGCGUUGUCCGGAAUUAUUGGGCGUAAAGAGCUCGUAGGUGGUUGGUCACGUCUGCUGUGGAAACGCAACGCUUAACGUUGCGCGUGCAGUGGGUACGGGCUGACUAGAGUGCAGUAGGGGAGUCUGGAAUUCCUGGUGUAGCGGUGAAAUGCGCAGAUAUCAGGAGGAACACCGGUGGCGAAGGCGGGACUCUGGGCUGUAACUGACACUGAGGAGCGAAAGCAUGGGGAGCGAACAGGAUUAGAUACCCUGGUAGUCCAUGCCGUAAACGUUGGGCACUAGGUGUGGGGGACAUUCCACGUUCUCCGCGCCGUAGCUAACGCAUUAAGUGCCCCGCCUGGGGAAUACGGUCGCAAGGCUAAAACUCAAAGGAAUUGACGGGGGCCCGCACAAGCGGCGGAGCAUGCGGAUUAAUUCGAUGCAACGCGAAGACCUUACCAGGCUUGACUUCACCAGACCGGCUUGGGAACAGGUCUUCCCCUUUGGGGUUG